AUUGAACGCUGGCGGCAGGCCUAACAAAUGCAAGUCGAGCGAGCGGCGGAGGGGUGAGUAAUGUAUGGGGAUCUGCCAGAUGGAGGGGGAUAACUACGGGAAACGGUAGCUAAUACCGCAUACCAUGAGAUGAACCCAUAUGGGAUUAUCUUGUAGGUGAGGUAACGGCUCACCUAGGCGACGAUCCCUAGCUGGUCUGAGAGGAUGACCAGCCACACUGGGACUGAGACACGGCCCAGACUCCUACGGGAGGCAGCAGUGGGGAAUAUUGCACAAUGGGCGCAAGCCUGAUGCAGCCAUGCCGCGUGUAUGAAGAAGGCCUUCGGGUUGUAAAGUACUUUCAGUCGGGAGGCGUUACCGACAGAAGAAGCACCGGCUAACUCCGUGCCAGCAGCCGCGGUAAUAC
rnacentral:rRNA from 1 species